UAGGGAAUCUUCCACAAUGGACGAAAGUCUGAUGGAGCAACGCCGCGUGAGUGAAGAAGGGUUUCGGCUCGUAAAACUCUGUUGUUAAAGAAGAACACGUAUGAGAGUAACUGUUCAUACGUUGACGGUAUUUAACCAGAAAGUCACGGCUAACUACGUGGCAG
rnacentral:rRNA from 1 species